rnacentral:tRNA from 1 species
GGUUGUGGCUCAGUGGUAGAGCACUGCCUAGCAUAUGAGAGGCACUGGGUUCGAAUCUCAGUACCA